AUAAUAAUCGAAAAAAAUUUGACAAAUUUAAAAUUGUGCUAAAAAUAUUAUGUUCAUAUUAUGGAAAUAUUUUUUUUGCUAUGGGGAUUAAAACAGCUGGAUUAUUUCAAUUAAUUCGACUUUUCAUUCUUUUAGGCAUGAACAAUUAACCUUCAUUGUACGUUAUGUUAGCUUGACGAAAAAAUCCCCGUGUAAUAUUGUAUGAAAUAAUAUUAUAACUAAAGAAAUCGCCAUUAAUUACGGGUCGUCAGCUUUUUUCAAUAGUUCAAGAUAUUUGUUUUAAAAAUGAAGUAAACCUGAAAUUAUUACUUAUUGGUUAGAGAUAUAGCAACAUACGAGAACAAUAUGAAGGUUUGUAAGCGUUUUUACAAGAAGUAAACUUGCCUGCUGUGAAUGUAUGGUGUUAUGUACACCGUUUAAACCUUGUAGGGGUUCAAGUUGCUAGUAGUUCCGCUGAUGCAGUAAACAUAUUGGGUAGUGUUGUAAUGUUAUGCUCACACAACAUACCCAAGUAGAAUUAUUUAUAUUUAUAACAGUGUGACAAAAUAUUUGAACGCAUUCAAUUACUUGGUAUUUUCUAUUGAAAAAGGCUAGUUAUUCAAUAAUUAUAACCGAGCAUUCGUUGUUCGAGAGGAAUACAUAUAGAUGUCCCACAAGGAUAUACCCAUUUUGAUAACUCCGGAAAUAACAAAGGUAAUCAAAUUCUGUUUUUUUUUCUCAUAGGGAAAAGGAUUACAAAUAUUUAUAUUUAUAAUUAUGUGUAUUUAAAUACAUUCUUAUGUUUUGGUAAAAAAAAAUGUAUCCAAAAAUAACUUUUUAUUUUAUUGUUAUGGAAAAAAGUCGAAUUAAUCGUUUUGUAAUUGUAGAUUCUUCUGGACACUUUGACCCAUCGAGUUGUGCAAAUGCAACACAUUGUGUUAAGGACUGUGUCCUUCACGUGUUGAAGUUUGUUAAUUAUAAAUUAAUAAUUCCACGCGACAAGAUAUGAAAUCGGUCGCGCAUUAAGUGUACGCACGUCAGGGCUGUUAAUACGGGUGUGGUAAACCGACGUCGUUCCCAGGCAACAACGGAUGAUACGUCUUCACGGGCCAAUGGGAAAACGUGUACGGGUACGGACGACGUGCCACCAGCAGACAACGGCGGCAGCGUCCACCACCACCUAGGGCUCGAUCGAGGCGACAAACGUAUAUUAGGAGACCGGGAUCAUCACCAAGAGACGGUUUAGCUUAGUCGGAAGUCGAUACCACCAUCGACGCGCGAGGAGGAGUACCGGUCACCUCGACGCCAACCCGUUCAGUCAUUUCCAUAGUGCGCUUAUACCUGAUAAUUACAACUAAUUGUUGACCCGGGUUCUGGUGUCGUACGGUUUUCACUUAUGAAUAUAAUUUUUUUGACCGUGUUUUGUUUAAAUUCUAAUAAAACCAUUUGUAGACCUAAACGCGCUUGUACAUUCUUCUCGUCAAAAUACUGUAUCCAAACGUCCCGUAACAAUUGUUCGUGCGUAUUAUUAUGUAUUUUAAAGUUAACGAAAAUAUAAAUAAACUAUUAUAACAAUGAAAUAUCGCAAAUAAUAAUGGUAUUGCGUGUUUAUGUUGUAUCGACUUGAAAACAGGUUUUGAAUAUUAUAAUAUUAUUACA